UGCCUACGGGCGGCUGCAGUGAGGAAUAUUGCGCAAUGGGCGAAAGCCUGACGCAGCAACGCCGCGUGGGUGAAGAAGGCCUUCGGGUCGUAAAGCCCUUUUCUGAGGGACGAGGAAGGACGGUACCUCAGGAAUAAGUCUCGGCUAACUACGUGCCAGCAGCCGCGGUAAAACGUAGGAGGCGAGCGUUAUCCGGAUUUACUGGGCGUAAAGCGCAUGCAGGUGGUCUUACAAGUGGGAUGUGAAAGCCCCGGGCUUAACUGGGGGAGGUCGUUCCAGACUGUGAGGCUGGAGGUCGGGAGAGGAAAGCGGAAUUCCCGGUGUAGUGGUGGAAUGCGUAGAUAUCGGGAGGAACACCAGUGGCGAAAGCGGCUUUCUGGCCCGCACCUGACACUAAGAUGCGAAAGCGUGGGGAGCGAACGGGAUUAGAUACCCGAGUAGUCA
rnacentral:rRNA from 1 species